UUUUUGUUUUUCCGUGUCCAAUGUUUGACCAUUUGUCUUAUUUAAAAAAUUUAUACAAAAACUUAAAAAAAUUAGUCACGUAUAAAUUGCUAUUCAUAUUUUAUAAUCUAGUAAUAAUAAAAAUAUUAAUCGCAAAAAAAUUUCAAAUAAGACGAAUGGUCAAACGUUGGACACGAAAAAACGAAAAUUGAGGUUAUU
rfam:Oryza brachyantha chromosome 6, whole genome shotgun sequence.